GACGAACGCUGGCGGCGUGCUUAACACAUGCAAGUCGAACGGAAAGGCCCUGCUUUUGUGGGGUGCUCGAGUGGCGAACGGGUGAGUAACACGUGAGUAACCUGCCCUUGACUUUGGGAUAACUUCAGGAAACUGGGGCUAAUACCGGAUAGGAGCUCCUGCUGCAUGGUGGGGGUUGGAAAGUUUCGGCGGUUGGGGAUGGACUCGCGGCUUAUCAGCUUGUUGGUGGGGUAGUGGCUUACCAAGGCUUUGACGGGUAGCCGGCCUGAGAGGGUGACCGGCCACAUUGGGACUGAGAUACGGCCCAGACUCUUACGGGAGGCAGCAGUGGGGAAUAUUGCACAAUGGGCGGAAGCCUGAUGCAGCAACGCCGCGUGCGGGAUGACGGCCUUCGGGUUGUAAACCGCUUUCGCCUGUGACGAAGCGUGAGUGACGGUAAUGGGUAAAGAAGCACCGGCUAACUACGU
rnacentral:rRNA from 1 species